GGGUUGCUCUCCCGCCGCGGCUGCUGCUGCUGCUGCUGCGAGGACGGAGGGAACUGGUGGUACUGGAGGCUGCCGCUGCUGAAGGCUAAAAGAUGAGGUGCACUGGGACCCUUACUGAAAAAGUGAAGUAUCAAGAAGAAAGAACAUCAUAAGUAAAUAAAGCUCAUUCAUUAAUGUGGAAAA